UAAAAGUAAUUCAAUAGCGCUCGUAUAAUUUCAGGAAUAUGGCCUGAUAGUCUCUACCAGAUAACCGUAAAUUAUCUGACUACGGGGGAAAGUGCGCCUAGG
rnacentral:ncRNA from 2 species